AGUAUGGCUAAAGCUAUUUUUAUAGAUAAAAUUUUCUUUAGGCUUGAAAAGAACUCGUGAUCUAAGCUUGAGCAAUUAUAACCUUAAUAAGCAUGUAUUGCAGUUCUGAAACAACAUUAAAUAAUUUAUUUCUGAAAUACAGAAAGCAAAAGCUGAAGCAUAACCAAGCUCAUCUCAAGCCUGUAUCAAUAACUUCAAUAGUAAAUAUGAUGCCUCUUCAGAUAAGUCUGCCUCAUCUAGAGCUUGAUGCUGUAGAAAUUAGUUUAGGAAUCUUUCAGUGUAAGUUAAGUAUCUAAUGGUAGAAACACACUUCUACUAAAUAAUAAUGGAGAAGAUAUUAGCUAUAUUUUUGUUUUCCAAUACUCACAAUCACUAUAAUCUAUUUACACAAAUCGUAUAUUUUUAGGUAAGACUGGUAAAGAUAACAGAUUUGAAAUAGCACAAUGAAUGCAAAACCAACUACACUAACCGUCAGUUGCACUAAAAAUGUGACUUGAUGUUAGAGAUGUAUGGUGGUGAAUAUACUGACUUAGCUCUGCUAACUUCAAGCUCUGACUUAGCUCAUGAUUUACGAUUUCGCCUCCACAUCCCAUUUAUCGAUUUACUUUACCCUUUUUUGUAUGUCGUUGCUCACUCGAUUAGCUCGGCAAGGAAGAAUUUCGGAAGAUGUUUAAGGAAAAUAACCAUAAUAACAAGUCAGUUGCAGCGGUUGCUAAAGCUGGAGGAGACAAGUGGAAAUCAUUGACGGAAGAAAGAAAGCUCCAUACGUAGCCAAGGCAGCAAAGCUCAAAGUCGAUUACACCAAAACCAUGGUUGCCUACAACAAAGGCUAGUCUGGUGGAGGAGGAGGAAGUUGUGCUGCUGCCGCAGAUAAAGCAGAAGAAGAAGGCGAGGAAUCCGACAAGUCAAAAUCCGAGGUGAAUGAUGAUGAAGAAGAAGAGUUUUGUAGGAAAUCUUGGUCUUUGUGGCUAUUGGCUAAGCUCGUCUUGCCACUUCCAUCCACCAUAAAGAGGUUCUAUUGGCAAAGUUUCCUAGCGUGCCACCACCGUUCCAAGUAACAUCAAAUGUUGUCCGAGAUUUGACAAUUACAAGUAUCAUUCUCCACAUUAAGCUAAAAUUUAGCCACUACCCCAUUGUUUCAUGCACUUGCACUAACAUGAUCUCAUCUACCAAUUCUCUUUAAAUGCUCUCCGAUGUCGAUCUCUCCAUUCACUCAUUUCAGCACCAACAAAGAGAUAGCUUCAUAUACAUCAACAAUCACCCUAUUCUUUAGAACUAUAAUGAACGGAAAGAAAGGUAGCAGUAUUCAGAUCAACAUUUGCUUGCCGCCAAACACAACACCACAAUCAGAAAGCAUGAAGAAGUCUACCAAGGCUCAUAAUGGGAAAGGCACGAUACCAAUGAGGAAAUUGAUGAUGGAAGUGUGGGAGUUUGCCAGAGAGGGCACAGACAGGGUGACCUUUUCCCUCAAGGUUGGCUUGGCUUGCCUCCUCGUCUCCCUUCUCAUUCUCAUCCAAGCACCUUAUCAAGUCUUCGGCACCAACUUCAUAUUGGAAAAGGUUGGUAUGAAAAAAUAAGCAAGUGAGAAAGAGGAGUCCAAUGAAAUCCUAUAAGUUGAAGAUUAUAUUGUGAUGGGACUUGGGUUGAUAAUAAUUAAGUGCAAUCCUACAUGGCAUGA